CUAAAAUAAAGUGAGAAGAAAACUUUCAACCGAAACAGAAGUAUUCAAACACUGUUAAGAUCUUCCACUCCGGCUCUUGAGCGCCUUAUUUCCUUCUUCCGUCCCGCAUUUGCAUUUGCAUACUGAUCCGAUCGUUCCACUUAGGUGAUACACGAUCUAUUGAUUAAGGUCUGAAACAGAAGAUCUUCUAAGCUGCGAAGAUGGUUGUUCUAGCUGCGUCCAUUAUUUCUAAGUCAGGCAAAGGU